rnacentral:rRNA from 1 species
UACGUAGGGACCAAGCGUUGUUCGGAUUUACUGGGCGUAAAGAGCGUGUAGGCGGUUUGGUAGGUCCGCUGUGAAAACUCGAGGCUCAACCUCGAGACGCCGGUGGAAACCAUCAGACUAGAGUCCGGAAGAGGAGAGUGGAAUUCCUGGUGUAGCGGUGAAAUGCGCAGAUAUCAGGAAGAACACCCGUGGCUAAGGCGGCUCUCUAGUACGGUACUGACGCUGAGACGCGAAAGCGUGGGGAGCGAACAGG